UACGUAGGGUGCAAGCGUUGUCCGGAAUUAUUGGGCGUAAAGAGCUCGUAGGCGGUCUGUCGCGUCGGCUGUGAAAACCCGGAGCUCAACUCCGGGCCUGCAGUCGAUACGGGCCAACUGGAGUACUGCAGGGGAGACUGGAAUUCCUGGUGUAGCGGUGAAAUGCGCAGAUAUCAGGAGGAACACCGGUGGCGAAGGCGGGUGUCUGGGCAGUAACUGACUCUGAGGAGCGAAAGCGUGGGGAGCGAACAGG
rnacentral:rRNA from 1 species